GACGAACGCUGGCGGCGUGCUUAACACAUGCAAGUCGAACGGAAAGGCCCUGCUUUUGUGGGGUGCUCGAGUGGCGAACGGGUGAGUAACACGUGAGUAACCUGCCCUUGACUUUGGGAUAACUUCAGGAAACUGGGGCUAAUACCGGAUAGGAGCUCCUGCUGCAUGGUGGGGGUUGGAAAGAUUCGGCGGUUGGGGAUGGACUCGAGGCUUAUCAGCUUGUUGGUGGGGUAGUGGCUUACCAAGGCUUUGACGGGUAGCCGGCCUGAGAGGGUGGCCGGCCACAGUGGGACUGAGAUACGGCCCAGAAGCCUACGGGAGGCAGCGGUGGGGAAUAUUGCACAAUGGGCGGAAGCCUGAUGCAGCAACGCCGCGUGCGGGAUGACGGCCUUCGGGGUGUAAACCGCUUUCGCCUGUGACGAAGCGUGAGUGACGGUAAUGGGUAAAGAAGCACCGGCUAACUACGUG
rnacentral:rRNA from 1 species